AUGUUCUUUCUGCAGAGGUCCAUAAUAUCAUGCGGCAGAAAUGGCACAGGAGCAUGGGCACGGGUGCUCCCUCCUACGCACCCUGCCGUCAAGGAUAUCCAACAAAGGGACAUCCACGAAAUGUCCGGAGACGUCGUCCCCAGGAACAUGAUCAAAGGCAUCGGACAUCUACGUGACCCACGACUGAACAAGGGACUAGCUUUUACUUUAGAAGAGAGAAUAACCCUCGGGAUCCACGGCCUUCAACCACCACGAUUUAAAACCCAAGAGGAACAAUUGGCCCUCUGCAAAGCCUCCGUCAUGAAGUACACGGAAGAUCUGAACCGAUAUCUUUAUCUGGUGGAACUCCAGGAACGAAACGAACGGCUGUUCUUCCGUCUGCUGAGCGAGAACAUCGAGCAAAUGAUGCCCAUUGUCUACACCCCGACGGUGGGACUUGCCUGCCAGAAGUUUGGAGUUAUCUACCGGAGGCCACGUGGUCUGUUCAUCACCAUCUACGACAAGGGUCACAUUUCCGAGAUCCUGAACAACUGGCCAGAGCAAGCAGUGCGAGCGAUUUGCGUGACCGAUGGCGAGCGAAUUCUGGGCCUCGGGGACCUUGGAGCUUGCGGAAUGGGAAUUCCCGUAGGAAAGCUCGCCUUAUACACUGCCCUGGCAGGGAUCAAGCCCCAUCAAUGUCUGCCGAUUACUAUAGACGUAGGUACGAACAAUGAACAGCUGAGAAACGACCCUCAUUACAUUGGCCUGAACAAGCCCAGAAGCCAAGGCGCCGAAUACGACGAGCUGAUCGACGAGUUCAUGGCCGCCUGUGUCCGGAAGUACGGACAAAAUGUAUUAAUCCAGUUCGAGGACUUCGGGAACCACAACGCGUUCCGCUUCCUCGACAAGUACCGAGACAAGUACUGUACAUUCAACGACGACAUCCAAGGCACAGCCGCGGUCGCCGUGGCUGGGAUCCUGGCGUCCAAGAGGAUCACCAAGAGGAAAAUGUCGGACAACAAGUUCGUCUUCCUCGGCGCGGGUGAGGCGGCGAUUGGAAUAGCGGACCUUUGCGUAAAAGCCAUGGAAGCCGAUGGCUGUACGGAGAAGCAGGCAAGGGACAACAUCUGGAUGAUGGACAUUGACGGACUCCUGGUGAAGGAACGGCCAGAGGGCAAUCUGGAGGGCCACAAAGUCUGGUACGCAAAAGACUACAAGGUCAUGAAGAAGCUCAUAGACGUCGUCAAAGAAGUGAAACCCACCGUGCUGAUUGGCGCAUCGGCAGCGGCAGGUGCCUUCACCUCGGAGGUCCUCGCAGAAAUGGCCAAGAACAACGAGAGGCCGCUAAUCUUCGCGUUAAGUAAUCCUACAAGCAAAGCCGAAUGUACUGCCCAACAGGCUUACGACCACACGGAUGGUAGAUGUGUGUUCUCAUCGGGGUCGCCGUUCGGUGAAGUCGUUUACAAAGGUAAAACCUACAAACCGGGACAGGGCAACAAUGCCUACAUAUUCCCAGGUAUCGCACUUGGUGUCAUCGCCACCGGAUGUCACCACAUCACGGAGGAGCUGUUCCUAAUCUCGGCGCAAGCGGUCGCCGAUCACGUCACCGACGAAGACCUUAAUCGUGGCAGUCUUUACCCUCCCCUGGACAUCAUUAAAGAAUGCUCGAUUGAAAUAGCCGUCAGAAUCGCCAAUUAUGCGUAUAGAAAAGGUGGCUUGGCGAGCGAGUAUCCAGAGCCCAGGGACAAACGUUCCUUUAUCGCUAGCAAAAUGUACGAUGCCAAUUAUGACAGCCCACUGCCAAAUCUCUACCAAUGGCCGGGAGACUCGGCUAAGCCGCGCACUCUUCCUGAGAAAGAAUGUGUAGAUAUCCUUCACGAUUUGAAACAACUGUAGUGACUUUACGAGGACUGGGAAUUAGUAGGAUAAUUAUUACAAUUACGGUAACGAAAGGAAAAGCGACAAGAAAACAUUAUGACGUGUUGGCGAGUCUAAAGACAAGAAGACCACGUUGACUCAUACAAAAGCAUUGUAGAUUACUCUCGAAGAGACGAAACAUCUUGCAAAGAUAAAAAGAAAAAAGAAAAAAAUAAGAGAGCAAAGAAACGUACAUGGCUACGCCUUAUGUUAAAUGUACUCAUGUAUUGCCAAUUAAGUAUUAUCAUGAUGCAGUGAUAUUUUUACUUAUUUAUCAUUUAUUUAUCAAAAACACAAUAAGUCCACAGCCUUGGAAUGAUUACGAUAAGCAAUGGGCAGCUAAAUAUGUGUCCUUAAACUGCCAUUUUCUUUUCUUUAGCUUUUGGACAGUCCGGUGUCAAAACGUAACGACGAAACAAUUUUUUAAUGUACCAAAUGAUGGCCUCGUUAUUUUAGUUUAAUCCCAUUAGUCCCAUGCAGUAGUGGAUUAUUUAAAUGAGAAUUCGAAAAUAAUAUCUGUCGGCAGCUAGGCAUAUAAUGGUUAAGCUAAUUCAUUUGAUUAGAACCGAGGCCCUUGUAUGACCCUCCAAUAUGUACCUCUUCGUUUCUUGUAUUAAUUAUAAUUAACCACUCGAUACAAGAAUCGUACCCCCUGUGAAAGUUCCUGAGUAUCACAGCCAGGCAUACGUUGUUCGGACAGUAAUGCACGACAUUCGAGACAUCAUUUUAGAGCUAUGGCCGUAUUGUACAUUGAUUGCACCGUUGCAAGAGAGUUGGGUGAAUAUUUAAAAAAUAAAGGAAAACUGCUUAACGGCACUUUCCGAUAAUCAGCAUUAAGAUCGAGUGCAAUUUAUAUUCGGUUAAAAGCGCAGCGUCAUUGCAUUUCAUGUUUCUUAUUAUUUUUAAAAGUGUGCAAUAUUGUAACAGUAUUUUUUUUUUCUUUUGUACGUAUUUGCGAAGUACGCAGUAUUAUGUGGGAAUAAAUAUGUAGACGCAGGUGUAUCGUCUGUCAUUUUAAAGCGGAACCUUCGAUAACGCAUGGUUCUUAGCUAGGAUGUCACGUGGAAUGUUAUUUGAAUUGUCAAAUUAACUUGUAUUACUGCCAUUACCACGAAAGUAUACUGUACUCAUUCUCUGGUGCAAUGCAAUGCGUGCGUACAUGAAACAUUGUGAAUCGGAACAUGCGUAACUAAGAAGAAAACCGAAAUGUAUCUAGUUGCAAUUAGUAAUGUAGAAUUUGUUGCUGGUUUUUUAAAUUACGUUAACCAGGAGUGAAAUAAACACUAAAUCCCGAGGAUUAUGUCGAUGCGUAA
rnacentral:misc_RNA from 1 species